CAAUUGUUGGAGGGUUUAAGGGUUCUUUGCUCUCUCUCCUCCAGGUUUCUCUCCACCCACAAAGUCAACGUGCACCGUCAAGGGGCCCGAAUUUCAUUUCUUUGUCCGAACUUGCCAGCUCGGUGGCUGCGACGCCCGUCCCUCUCGGGAACACGCAGGGAAGGAGAGGAUGUCAGUUCCAGGUCUGUCUGGGGGUGUCGGGGUAAGUGACGGAGAUCUGGGGAAGGUCUGGGGUGUCAGCAAGGGCUUUUAUGAGAGCAAACGCCCCGUCGUCCUUAGGGACAGCACCAGGGGUGGGCAGCACCGGCUCCAAGUUCAAGAGGGUUCCGUGGCUCCCUCCCCUCCCACUCUGUCCCCGUGAGAGCUCCCACUCCUUGGCACCAGGGUGAGAAGGUACAGGAACCACCCGUGCCAGCUGGGGAGUGCAUCCUGCAGGCUACAGGUCCCCCCUUUCCUUUCCCUACAGAAGAUGCAGAACAGGAUGAUUCAUUUUGAAGGCAGAAAAAAUUAAUAUGCAUUUAACCAGAUGCAAAAGAAGAACUUUGGAACAAAGGCAGUUUUUAAAAAGGCAUUUGAAUGUCAAAUAUCUCUCGGGUUCUUCCUGCCCUGUGACAAUGGAGAUGCCUUCCCUUUUUAACUGCUCCAUUUUCAAGAGCUGUAGGGAUCUCACUUCCAAACGACUCACUCCUCAUAAAUCGGGGGGGGGGGGGGGGGCUUUGUUUCGGUGCUGUCUGCCUCUUGUCUGACCCCCACCUCCAGCCCACCCUGAGGUCUGUUUAGAGUUACCCACUUACCUUGGCUGGCCCGUCCCCCUCCUGUUUGGGGCUGUUCCUGCUGCGGUCCCUGCACUUAGACUGUUCCCUCGUGCACCGUCACCCCCACAUCAGCAGGGUGUGCCAGGUGCCCGCAUUUCCCCGUCUUGGGUUGAAUGUGUCUUGGUGUGUCUGCUCGCCCCCCCACCCCCUCCAAAUCAGAAGAAAAUCACCAGAAGACUCCAACACGUUCGGCUCGGUGUCGGAACUGCCUGUACCCAUUAGGAAUUCUCAAAGUGCAGACCCACUCGGCUCUUCGAGGGUCUCUUUACAGAGGCACAAGUGACAUGGGGGGUUGCCCACCCCCGCCCCACCUCCCGACACACAUGUGUUUUACUGCUGUUCCAAUUUAAAAUUUCUGCUUACCACCCAGAAGCAACGACGUUUCUAAUACCCACCCUGCAAACUCCAUCUGGGAUCCCCCAAACAAGCUGUGUUCCUCUGCCUGCCUCACACACAGGAACUGGAAACUUCGUCAAGGGGAGCAGGAGGGAGGUCAGACCUUCUCGGUGCUGAGCCAUGGGAGUUUUAAUGUUUGGAAACUCGUGGGGAAAAUACCAAGGAAGAGAAAUAAGGGCCCACCUCGAAGACACCCCCCUGCCCCACCCCGGGCUCCAGCCUACUCAUCUGGUGCGGCUCACCUUGGGAAAGCCCAAGGGACUGUCCCCAAGACACCAGAAGUGAGGACAGCUACUCGAAUCACAAUUAUCCUACGAUGCUCCUGCCUGGCAGGAUUACUCUCCUUCCAAGCUCGGCCUGGUGUCUUGUGUGAACAGAGAGCCAGAUGGUAGAGUUUUGGGGGCUAAAAUGGAUACACGGGUUAUUUAUAGAUUCGGACUGGAAAUCACAUGACCUGCCUUCUGUGGAGUUCCAUCUUCCGAGAACAGACUUGAAAUAGACAGAGUUGUGGAAAGUCUCAGAAUCCUUUAGAAUAAUCCUGAACAUGAUCUUGAAAGUAGGAAAUGGUGGCGUUAAGCCCCGGGAAUACAGAAGCCCCUUCCAAAAGAAAGGAGGAGCUUUAGAACCAUCUUUCGGGAAUGUCUAGACGGUUCUGUGAAUACCAGGGGUGUUUUCCCUGACAUCCCCCCCCCAAAGACCUUUACAACUCAACACGAGUGUCGCAGCCCAUUGGCGCGUCACCAGUUUUGGGGCGGAGGAAACCACGGCUAGUGCCUUAGAUGUAAUAGACAUUUGAUUGGCAUUUGUGGGAAGGGUGACAGAAAUGAGAACAACCUUUGUCAUUAGUACCAAACUUGCGGCUUUGCGUUGUGGGGGUUUUCUUAAGUUCUCCAUAUUUCUCUCUCUAACCUGGAUACCCACGUUGGCUCCCAGGUGCCCUGGGCAGCGGGUGAGGGAAGGGUGGCCUCUCUCUGGGGACUCCUUCCUGCUAGCUGAUGCACUUAACACUUGAAUUGCUCCAUUUCAUCCUCCACAGCUGAACAUCGCUUCCAUUUCCUGUGGAAUGACCACUUGGCUGAGAGAGGUGACCCAGCUUGCCUGUGCCCGGCGGCCCCCAGAUACUGCCUUCUCAGUCAAGAUGCAGAACCAAGAAACUCCACCUCCUGCCAUUGCUCAAAGUCUAAAAAUCAAGACAGGGAAAGUAUGGAGACUGGCUGAGGCCCUAAAGGGUUCCGGGAUGCUUAUGUUUCCAUAAACCAAAAACCUCAAACCCAACCAAACCAAAAACAAGCUCCACCUUUUCUGUAACACAGAGAACCUUCUAGAAGACAGGGGCAAGGGUCACAUGCGAGCUGCAAACUGCCCUCUGCAGCUCUCCUCUCUGUGAACAAACCCAUUUGUUCCCACAGCUCCCUAUAAAGCUUAGAAUAGAAGGAAAAUUGAGAAAUGAACUCAGACUUGGAGGUACCCACACCUGACUCAUGGUACUAACUCGGUAGAAUUACUGUUUUACUGGGGUCAAUUUUUUUUUUUUUCACUAAUGAUUAAACCCAGGGGCUCUCUGCCUCUGAGCCACAUCCCCAGCUCUUUUUAUUUGGAGACAGGGUCUUUCUAGGUUGACAAGGCUGGCCUUGAACUUGCGAUCCUCCUGCCUGACCUCUGGAGUUGUUGGGAUGACAGGUGUGCGCCAUCACACCCAGCAGUGGUAUCAGUCCGAACAUACAUCGUCCCACUGAGCAUGUGGGAACUUAAUAACUCAUUAGCAUUUACUCCACUUCAAAAAAGCCUUCAUUUGUCAGAAAGUGGGUAUUAUUUCCACUUCGUCAAACUUGCCGGGAAUCAAAACAAACAUUUACAUUUUC
rnacentral:lncRNA from 1 species